AUUGAACGCUGGCGGCAUGCCUUACACAUGCAAGUCGAACGGUAACAGGUCUUCGGAUGCUGACGAGUGGCGAACGGGUGAGUAAUACAUCGGAACGUGCCUAGUAGUGGGGGAUAACUACUCGAAAGAGUGGCUAAUACCGCAUGAGAUCUACGGAUGAAAGCAGGGGAUCGCAAGACCUUGUGCUACUAGAGCGGCCGAUGGCAGAUUAGGUAGUUGGUGGGAUAAAAGCUUACCAAGCCGACGAUCUGUAGCUGGUCUGAGAGGACGAUCAGCCACACUGGGACUGAGACACGGCCCAGACUCCUACGGGAGGCAGCAGUGGGGAAUUUUGGACAAUGGGCGCAAGCCUGAUCCAGCAAUGCCGCGUGCAGGAUGAAGGCCUUCGGGUUGUAAACUGCUUUUGUACGGAACGAAAAGCCUUGGGUUAAUACCCUGGGGUCAUGACGGUACCGUAAGAAUAAGCACCGGCUAACUACGUGCCAGCCGCCGCAGUAAUAC
rnacentral:rRNA from 1 species